AAGACCACAAAUUCAGUUUCCUUCUCUGCACAAAACCAAACCGCAAAUCAUUUCUUCCUUUCUAAAUACCAAGACACCGCCCACCGUCUCAUUUCCUUCUCUGCACACUCCACUGAAACCACUGCAAUUUCUCUCCUCAAUCACACCAUACCUCUUCCUCUGCAUUCGAUCAAGAGCAUCCGAGAGAGAGAACCACCUAGUGAGCUGCAUCCGUGAGCUUGGGAGAAGGAACGUGAGCUGCUAGAAAUUCUUCUGAUCCUGCCGUGAGUUGGAGGGAAGCCAGGGAGGAGAUUUGCAGGAAGCUUCACCAUUUUUCACCUUCAUCUCCACCAACUCCAACCAACCGAACACAAAUCCACCAGCUACACCCAAUUCCAGCCGCAACAUAGGAAACAAGAACCACUGACUGCACUUGGCCGAGAGCUAGGGAAGAAAUUUCUGGAAAAUUUUCGUGUGAAAGUUUAGCUGCUAUCUGAGGUUCUGGAAACUGAAAGCUGGAUGCUUACUUAUGUUUUUCUUUUGGAUUGUAUUUGAAUACUAUAACUUAUUCUGUGGGCUGUAAUGUGUUAUUUAGGAUAAUGUAUUUUCCUUUUGGAUUGCCACUUGAACCUGGAAAAAUGUGUAAAACCUAAUUCGAUUACUUGGCUUGUAAGUUUGUAUUAUGGAUUUAUGUAGUUAUCUAUCUGGUUUGGUACGACUUUAUACUUCGGUA